UUAAGCAUAUCAAUAAGCGGAGGAAAAGAAACCAACAGGGAUUGCCUCAGUAACGGCGAGUGAAGCGGCAACAGCUCAAAUUUGAAAUCUGACCCCUUCGGGGCCCGAGUUGUAAUUUGUAGAGGGUGUUUCGGGUGCGGCGCCGGUCUAAGUUCCUUGGAACAGGACGUCAUAGAGGGUGAGAAUCCCGUAUGCGACCGGUGACCAACCCCAUGUGAAACCCCUUCGACGAGUCGAGUUGUUUGGGAAUGCAGCUCAAAAUGGGUGGUAAAUUUCAUCUAAAGCUAAAUACCGGCCAGAGACCGAUAGCGCACAAGUAGAGUGAUCGAAAGAUGAAAAGCACUUUGGAAAGAGAGUCAAACAGUACGUGAAAUUGUUGAAAGGGAAGCGCUUGCAACCAGACCUGCCCCUGGGCGAUCAGCCGUUAUUCUUAGCGGUGCACUCGUCCUUGUUCAGGCCAGCAUCGGUUCGGGCGGCCGGAUAAAGGCCCCGGGAA
rnacentral:rRNA from 1 species